rnacentral:rRNA from 2 species
UGGGGAAUAUUGCACAAUGGGCGCAAGCCUGAUGCAGCGACGCCGCGUGAGGGAUGACGGCCUUCGGGUUGUAAACCUCUUUCAGUAUGGAACAAGGAUCCUUCUUUUGGGGGGUUUGAGGGUACGUGCAGAAGAAGCGCCGGCUAACUACGUGCCAGCAGCCGCGGUAAUACGUAGGGCGCGAGCGUUGUCCGGAUUUAUUGGGCGUAAAGAGCUCGUAGGCGGUUGGUCGCGUCUGCCGUGAAAUUUCCUGGCUUAACUGGGAGCGUGCGGUGGGUACGGGCAGACUGGAGUGCGGUAGGGGAGACUGGAAUUCCUGGUGUAGCGGUGGAAUGCGCAGAUAUCAGGAGGAACACCGGUGGCGAAGGCGGGUCUCUGGGCCGUUACUGACGCUGAGGAGCGAAAGCAUGGGGAGCGAACAGG